rnacentral:tRNA from 1 species
GCCCGGGUGGCGGAACAGGUAGACGCAGCGGACUUAAAAUCCGCUGGCCAUUGCGGCCGUGCCGGUUCAAAUCCGGCCCUGGGCACCA